rnacentral:rRNA from 1 species
GUGAGGAAUUUUCCGCAAUGGGCGAAAGCCUGACGGAGCAAUGCCGCGUGAAGGAUGAAGGCCUAUGGGUUGUAAACUUCUUUUCUCAGAAAAGAAUUAUGACGGUAUCUGAGGAAUAAGCAUCGGCUAACUCUGUGCCAGCAGCCGCGGUAAGACAGUGGAUGCAAGCGUUAGCCGGAAUGAUUGGGCGUAAAGCGUCUGUAGGUUGUUUAAAAAGUAUUCUGUCAAAGAUUAGGGCUUAACCCUAGAUAGGCAGAAUAAACUUUUAAGCUAGAGGUUGGUAGAGGCAGAGGGAAUUCCCGGAGGAGCGGUGAACUGCGUAGAUAUCGGCAGGAACACCAAAGGCGAAGGCACUCUGCUGGGCCAAUAAUAACACUGAGAGACGUAAGCGAGGGGAGCAAAUGAGAUUAGAAACCCGAGUAGUCC